rnacentral:tRNA from 1 species
UAGACCAGCAGGCUUUUAUCCCACAACCUCUUAGUUAACAACUAAACACCCAUGACUCAGGCUCUAGUCUA